CAAUAUUUUGUGGGAAUUAUUCCUUCUUUUAUACAACUUGUAUCAGCUCCACUAUCUAUUAGAGCUACAAAGGUUUCUUUGAAAUCUUCUACUGUAAUGGUAACUAGUGCAAACCAUUUUUGAAAAGUCAUUUUUUCUAUAGUAUUUAUAUACUGGUCUUCUUUUAUUGGGUUUUCUGCUAUUGAUAUUUCGUUUGUUUUAGUAUUAGAGGUUGAAGGUUGAUUAUUAUCUAUUAAUGUUAAUUUUGAUUCUAUUUCUAAAUCUUUUAAUUUUAAUUCUAUUAUUUCUUGUUGUAAUUGUUUUGCUUGUAUUGGAAAAACCUCUGCCAAUGUCAUUGGUAAGAGAAUUCAAAAUAAAAUGGUGGACUGGAUUCAAUCAAGAAUUUGGCGAUCAAACUAAUGUGAUCAGAUUCCUGACCACUGGAGACAAAUUAAAGUGGACAGCUACUACCACUACUCAAAAGGAGACAAGACAGUCAACAAUCAUUCCACCCACUACACCAGUCACUCCAAAAAGAGACAAAGAAAAAGUGACGGAAAUGGCAUCCGAAGAAACAGCCAGUAACUUUUUGAUAAAGCAAAUUAUGCAGAACCCCGAGAUGCUGAAAGAAUAUUUGAAUUAUUUACAAAAGCCAAAAGAAGAAGACAAAAUAGAGGAGCCAGCAGGAUCAUCCGAAUCUACUUUUGAUCCUUUUGAUGAUCCCAUCGGUGGACAAAAUCCAAACGACUUUUGAAAAAGAAUGUCGGCCACCACAAAUGAAAGCAAAAUUCAAAUGAAAUGCAGAAUCGAGCCUCUAUAAAUAGAUUCAAGAUUCAGAAGACAGGCAUCGGCGAAGAAAUAUCAGAAGUUGUAAUAGACUUGUCUUAGUUUUCCUACGAUUACCACUCACUCCGAAGUUCUCCUACUAUUCCCACUCACUCUAAAUAACCAUUGUACUCCAAAGUCUUUGUAGAAGUGGAUUUCAUCAUUACAAUAAAGUCUUCAAGGUUGGAAUUCAUUACAAGCUUCCGUUAGGCACUCAACAAUCAAAACUUGAUUCAUGACAUAAAAUGCAGCACAACUCCAAGGUGAUUUUGAAGGUGUUAUUAAUCCUUUUUCUAUUAAUAUUUUUAUUUCCUUCUUACAAAAUUCUAGUAAUUCAGAAUUCAUCUGUAUUGGUCUAGCUUUUGUUGGAAUAUUCUUUUCUUCAAAGUCCUUUUCAUAAGGUAAUUCUAUCAUAUGUUGUUUUCUAUCCCAAAAAGCAUUAGGAAUAUCUGCACAAAUUUCUUUUUGAAAUAAUUC